rnacentral:rRNA from 1 species
GGGCGUAAGAGCUCGUAGGCGGCUUGUCACGUCGGAUGUGAAAACUCGGGGCUCAACCCCGAGCCUGCAUUCGAUACGGGCUAGCUAGAGUGUUGCAGGGGAGACUGGAAUUCCUGGUGUAGCGGUGAAAUGCGCAGAUAUCAGGAGGAACACCGGUGGCGAAGGCGGGUCUCUGGGCAACUACUGACGCUGAGGAGCGAAAGCGUGGGGAGCGAACAGGAUUAGAUACCCUGGUAGUCCACGCCGUAAACGUUGGGCGCUAGGUGUGGGGAACCUUCCACGUUCUCCGUGCCGUAGCUAACGCAUUAAGCGCCCCGCCUGGGGAGUACGGCCGCAAGGCUAAAACUCAAAGGAAUUGACGGGGGCCCGCACAAGCGGCGGAGCAUGCGGCUUAAUUCGAUGCAACGCGAAGAACCUUACCUAGGCUUGACAUAUACCGAAAACUCGUAGAGAUACGGGGUCCGCAAGGGCGGUAUACAGGUGGUGCAUGGUUGUCGUCAGCUCGUGUCGUGAGAUGUUGGGUUAAGUCCCGCAACGAGCGCAACCCUCGUCCUAUGUUGCCAGCGGAUAAUGCCGGGGACUCAUAGGAGACUGCCGGGGUCAACUCGGAGGAAGGUAAU